rnacentral:rRNA from 1 species
UACGGAGGGGGCUAGCGUUGUUCGGAAUUACUGGGCGUAAAGCGCACGUAGGCGGCUUUGUAAGUUAGAGGUGAAAGCCCGGAGCUCAACUCCGGAAUUGCCUUUAAGACUGCAUCGCUAGAACGUCGGAGAGGUGAGUGGAAUUCCGAGUGUAGAGGUGAAAUUCGUAGAUAUUCGGAAGAAACACCAGUGGCGAAGGCGACUCACUGGACGACUGUUGACGCUGAGGAGCGAAAGCGUGGGGAGCGAACGAGG